AGAGUUUGAUUAUGGCUCAGAGUGAACGCUGGCGGCAUGGUUAAGACAUGCAAGUCGAACGAAAAGCAAAACUUCGGUUUUGUAGACAGUGGCGAACGGGUGCGUAACACGUGAGCAACCUGCCCUUGAGUAUAGAAUAGCUCGCCGAAAGGCGAAUUAAUACUGUAUGUGACCCUCUACCGCAUGGUAAAGUGGUUAAAGCUUGUAAUGGCGCUCAAGGAUGGGCUCGCGGCCUAUCAGCUUGUUGGUGAGGUAAAAGCUCACCAAGGCUAAGACGGGUAGCUGGUCUGAGAGGAUGAUCAGCCACACCGGGACUGAGACACGGCCCGGACACCUACGGGUGGCAGCAGUUUCGAAUCAUUCACAAUGGGCGAAAGCCUGAUGAUGCAAUGCCGCGCGGAGGAUGAAGGCCUUAGGGUCGUAAACUCCUGUCAUUAGGGAACAACAAAUAGGUUUAUAGCCUAUUCUGAGUUAACCUAAAGAGGAAGAGGUGGCUAACUCCGUGCCAGCAGCCGCGGUAAUACGGAGACCUCGAGCGUUACUCGGAUUUACUGGGCGUAAAGGGUGAGCAGGCGGCCAAGUGUGUCAGGUGUGAAAUCCCGGGGCUUAACCCCGGAACUGCGCCUGAAACUACUUGGCUAGAGUCUCGGAGAGGACAGUGGAAUUCUAGGUGUAGCGGUGAAAUGCGUAGAUAUCUAGAGGAACACCAGUGGCGAAGGCGACUGUCUGGACGAGUACUGACGCUCAAUCACGAAAGCGUGGGUAGCGAAAGGGAUUAGAUACCCCUGUAGUCCACGCCGUAAACGUUGUGCACUAAGUUUCGGAGGAUUCGACCCCUUCGGAGCUCUAGCUAACGCGUUAAGUGCACCGCCUGAGGACUACGGCCGCAAGGCUAAAACUCAAAGGAAUUGACGGGGGCCCGCACAAGCGGUGGAGCAUGUGGCUUAAUUCGAGGCAACGCGAAGAACCUUACCUGGUCUUGACAUGCCUGUCGUAGUUUUCCGAAAGGAAUUCGUCAGUUAGGCUGGACAGUGCACAGGUGCUGCAUGGCUGUCGUCAGCUCGUGUCGUGAGAUGUUCGGUUAAGUCCGGCAACGAGCGCAACCCUCGUUUCCAGUUGCCAGCGGGUAAUGCCGGGGACUCUGGAAAGACAAACCUCUUGUUGAGGUGGGAAGGUGGGGACGACGUCAAGUCAGUAUGGCCCUUACGACCAGGGCUGCACACGUGCUACAAUGCCCGGUACAAUGGGAUGCAAUAUCGCGAGAUUGAGCAAAUCCACAAAACCGGGCCCAGUUCGGAUUGGAGUCUGCAACUCGACUCCAUGAAGUUGGAAUCGCUAGUAAUGGCGUAUCAGCAAUGACGCCGUGAAUACGUUCCCGGGCCUUGUACACACCGCCCGUCACAUCAUGAAAGCCGGUUCUGCCCGAAGUACAUGAGUUAACCGCAAGGAGACAGUGUCCUAAGGUGGGGCUGGUGAUUGGGAUGAAGUCGUAACAAGGUA
rnacentral:rRNA from 1 species